GAGAGAUGCGAUAAUAAAUUCGAAAGUAUUGAAGUCAAGUCAAAUUUGAUUUUUUUUAAAUCUGAACCUUGAUGCUAUCGAUAAUUCGAUAAUAAGGUUGCCGAGAGUGGUGGUCAGGUUUAAAGGUCAAAUAGGAAGAAUGCGCUUAUUUUUUCAAAGAACUUGUAAUCUCAAAAAUAGCUAAAUAAAAUUGUCACGGCUUUUUGAUUAGCAAAUUAUAUCGUUAUGUCGCUGUAUAAAUUUUGCGACCUAGCUCAAAAUACUUUGAUGAAGAGCGUCGCGAUGGCCUAGCAGUGAAAGCGCAAGACUUGACCGCGGAAUAAAUUGUGACGCAUUCAAUCAAUCAAGCUUUAAAUAUGGGAUUCAAAGAAAUAUAUUUUGUUACCAGCGACGUAAGAGUUGAAACAAUUAAUUUCACGGUUAAUAGCACGGUUUCAAAAUUGUAGUUGAAAAGUCGUGGCCUAAUUUGUUUAAGUUCUCGAAAGUCAGCUAUAUCCUAAAGAAACAGGUUUUUGCUAAAAAUUGACACGUAUAAUGGCACAAGUGAUGACAUCACAGAUUAAAAAUUUCGGGCUCAAAUCCCUUCUCCUCCACCUUACCCAGAGUAGAAUAAAUUGGGUAAGCAAUGCAGACCUGGAAAAAUUCCGGUUUUUCUAAAUAAAUAGUAGAUUCUUACACAUCCUUAGAUAUUAGUGGAUCAACAUUUAUUGCAACGACAUUACUUUGGAUAUAUGUACAGACAUUUGUGGAAACUUGCAGUUAUAAUAUUUGUUUAAUAAACUGAUAAUUUUGUUAUAAAUUAAAAUUUAAAAGAUCUCUACUUAAAAUCAAUAGUUUGUUCAACAAUGGCUAGUACUUAUUACUUUUAUUCUGUGAUUGCACUGAUGCUUUUUACGUUCAUCUUCUUUGUGCAAGUUGAAGCGAAACUUGCAAGACACCCCCCACAAGGCUUAUCUGAUGCAGAUAAUUUGCUCAGCUCCGACUCAAUUCACGGAUAGUAAAGCUCAAUUUUCCUCAUGUUUUAUUUUCAUUCAUUGUGCUAUGUCAUAGAGCUAAUGAAUUGGCAGAAUAUUCUAUAUGAGAUAUAACUUUUAUUUUCCUGAUAAUUGAAAACAUGAA